GUAUUGCUAAUGAAUUCAUUCCACAUGGAAGUCAAUUGAGACACUUAUAUUUUUUUAAAUUGACCAUUCCAGAGUAACAUCUGUCAAUGUUUAAACCAAUCAGUUAAGGUAUCAUGGCAGAAUACAACAACUUGUAUUGGAUCGUGUAAAGGAACAGAUAUAUUUUGCACAUCUGGAAGCGGCUUGCCUCUGUUUAGAUUACAUGAUAGUAUGACAGCAGGUAAUACAUUCGACUCAAAAACAACUGUUUCAAGUGGUCAUCAAUGCUAUUCUACGAGUGAACAACCCAUUCGCAGCUGCAAAGAGAGGAUGAAGUUUGUAUGUAAUACGUCAAGUCAUAAAGGAGCAAAUAGCACAUGGUAUGAAUCAACACAAACAUGCUUUGCACAUGCCACUACUUUGAUUCAACACAGUCAAAACCUUAAUGGUGGCCUCCCCCCGGGAAUAUGGCUUCAAUAUUUUAGGGAUAUGCAGUUAAUACAGAAGUCGGAC